UUGAUUUUACCAUUUGUGUCGGUUCGGAGCGCGGAGCGCACGUCUGUCGCGAGCGCUCCCUAACAAAGCCUUACCUCCAGCGGUUUGCCGUCAUUGUCGCCAUAACCCAACCGUGAAUUUGUUAUCCAAACCGUAACAUCAUCGUUUACAAUUAUUUUCAUAUAUUUUUUGUAAAGUGAACCAGUGAUAGUAAUGUCGAAUUGUUACAGUCCAGUGAAAAUAUGAAACACUGAUCAACAAUGUUAAGUUACAUUUAUCUACGUCUUGGAGAAAUGUAUCCGUGUUGAAAUAUUAAAUCCUGUGUUGGAAUUUCAAAGUACGGCAAUGUACGCGAUGUCAACGACGUCAACAACGACGUCAGGUUCGCGCGCUGACCUGACGGCUACCACGGUGGAGCGACGGGUACGCGUAGUCCGCCUCCUGCGACCGCGCAAGGCUGCACCUGCUUUCGGCUUUUCCCUUCGAGGCGGGCGAGAAUACGCCACAGGUUUCUUCAUCUCGAAAGUUGAGCUUAACUCCGAGGCUCAUCUUCAAGGAUUAAAGGUUGGCGAUCAAGUAGUAAGCGUUAAUGGUUACCGAGUGGACGACGCGGUCCACGCAGAGCUGGUCCAUUACAUCACCUCACAGUCUAGGCUAAAGAUCAAAGUUAGGCAUGUGGGGAUGGUUCCUGUUAAAGAAAAAGAUCAAGAAUCUUUGUCUUGGCAGUUCGUAUCAGAGCGAGCGUCUCUCGCUUCGGACGUAUCCUCUUCACCAACAUUGUGUCACAACACUGAACACUUGGCGGAUUUGCGACUGUCAAUAUUAGUGCCACCACGAGCUAAGCUUGGUUGCGGUAUUUGUAAAGGUCCUGAUUGGAAACCGGGAAUUUUUGUACAGUUCGUAAGAGAAGGCGGCAUUGCGCGAGAAGCUGGCUUAAGACCGGGUGAUCAAAUCUUAUCGUGCAACGGCCACGACUUUGCUAAUAUAUCUUUUAAUGAGGCCAUAUCAGCGAUGAAAGCGAGCGGUAGACUCGAGCUCGUCAUCCGAGAGGGCACUGGAGCCGAGUUAGUGUCACCUGAGAGCUCUGGUUACAAUAGCUCUGCAUCUUCAGCUGCGGGCGAGCGUAGUCCGGCGCCGGCCGCACCCGUCAUACCCCUCGCACCACCGGCCGCUUUGCGAAGACGACUCGCAAGUGUAGCUGAAGAAGCCGCAGAUAGAGCGGACAGGUUGACGAUGAAUAGAAUAAAACGAAGAACAUGGGACAGCUUAGACUUCGAUUGGAAGAACAAAGACAUUCAUAAUUUUGACGCACCUUCUGACAUAGAGCCUGAUUAUGAUUGUCCCAGCAUACCAAAUAAUCCCCACACGUACGAAAGUAAGUCUCAUAUCAAAAGUAAAACUAUAACGGAAUAUGAACCUACGAAAGUAACGAGCCCAUUAAAUAGAACAAUAAUAAAUUUAACCGAAGAUGGCGCUACAAUACAAUGUAGUUACGAUAACAACACAACUAGGAAGAAUAUGUUUCCAACGACUCAAACAAUUAGAGAAAAAGAGAAGAAAACUAUUGUAGUAGAAGUUCAUCACAUGAAUACAACGACUUGUGCUAAGACACAUUGUAAUUUUCCCCCACCUUUUGUAAAAGAAAUUGAUGCAGACUCUACAAGUAUAGCUAGUUCAGCCACAUUAUCAAGUGCCAUUGCUGAAGAGAUACAGAGAAGAAAAUUGAACAAGACAACAACUCCAGAAAAGGAAAUUAAUCCAAUACCAGUCAAGAAACCCAACAUUCCAAAGGCUAUAGAUAAUGACCAAAAAAAGCAUCACGACGCAUUAAUGGACGAAUUUAAGAAGGUUCACCGAAAAAUGUUUGCGAAUCAAGAUACGGUGAACGGUGAUCUAAAUAAAGAAAAUCAGAUGGACUGUUUGGAUCGACAAUCAACUCUACCGAUUAGGAAAGCUGAUCAACUACCAAUGGAAUUAAUAAAUGAUAAACAGCAAGAUAAACGAGAAUUAAUACAGAAGCCGCCUCCUCCUCCUCCGAUGCCGUUUUCAAACGGACAACAAAACGGCGACCAUAAUAAAUCAUCUGAUGGUGACUUAGGAAAAUCGGAAAACCAGGACAUAAUUAAAAUACCAAACCUAAGAAAAGUUGCAACAUUAAAUAGGAUACCAACAACUGAUUAUAACAAUAAAACAGAUAUGCUGAUAAAGACACGAAAUUUAAAAGAUGAAAAUGCUGAAGUGGAAUCACUAGAAUCCUAUAAAUUAAAAAAUCCCAUAAAUGUUGCGCCUAAAGCACCUUCUAAUUAUUUCAUUAAAGCACCAAAUGGUUCAACAACUAUGAAGAAACAUGCACGGCCAGUUUCUGUCACUAUAGGAGAAUAUGUCAACAAUAUUGGCAGGAAAGAACCAUCAAAACUAGAUUUUCUAAAUGGUAAUAAAUCUGAUACCCAUAGAAUGGCUGGUGAUGAACCAAUUACUAGUAGACUUCAAUCAGAGUUAGCUCUUACAUUAUCUAGAUCGAAUUUACGUAAAAAGACUGAAGCUUUAGCCCAAGCUUCUAAAAUAAAACCUUUAACAAUAAAAUUAAAUGCAAAUGAUGAAAAUUUUCAUGCCAGAUACGGCAAUAAUCUUUUGCCGCUACCUCCAUCGAUAACAAUUCCUAAAGUAUCAAUUUUAAAAUACUGAUCAUCCAUUAUUACUGAUUAGGUCUUUAAGCAUAAUUCUACAAAACGCCCUCGUAAUAAUUCAUUUAUGGUGAUGGAGGUCGAUAAAAACUGUUUUUUUAAACAAGAUGAAGAAGCUUAUUUAAUAGAGUAUGUGAUAAAUUUCGACCUUAUCAUAUUUAUUUCCAAGAUAAAUCAUCGAAGUAAACGAUAGUCUAGAGUUAUAUUUUUAUCGCGUGUGCUUAUGUUUGCUGUCUUGUUGCAACCGUAAAAUAUGUAUAUCUCAAUUUUUAAUGAUUAUAUUAUGCCAAAACUAUGUAAACUGAAAUUGAAAUUGU